rnacentral:lncRNA from 1 species
AUUUCUCUGGUUCUUGCUUUCCUGCCAGAUAAUCCUCAUAGUCUGUCUUGAAGAGAAUUCAAAACAUUCCAUUAUGCAAAGAACAAUCAGCAGCUUCAUUGAAUUCUUCAGUGGUAAUGAAUGAGUUCAUGUCUACCACUUACUGAAGAAUAAAUGUAUCACCUUAUACUUCUCCUCCCGUUAACUUUGAUCAGGUUCCCCUUAGUGAUAAGUAGUUGUCUCCCCUUGGAUGAAAGAUCAA